AAUCCAUAGGUUAAUGAGGCGAACCGGGGGAACUGAAACAUCUAAGUACCCCGAGGAAAAGAAAUCAACCGAGAUUCCCCCAGUAGCGGCGAGCGAACGGGGAGGAGCCCAGAGCCUGAAUCAGCAUGUGUGUUAGUGGAAGCGUCUGGAAAGGCGCGCGAUACAGGGUGACAGCCCCGUACACAAAAGCGCAUGUGCUGUGAGCUCGAUGAGUAGGGCGGGACACGUGGUAUCCUGUCUGAAUAUGGGGGGACCAUCCUCCAAGGCUAAAUACUCCUGACUGACCGAUAGUGAACCAGUACCGUGAGGGAAAGGCGAAAAGAACCCCGGCGAGGGGAGUGA
rnacentral:rRNA from 1 species